rnacentral:rRNA from 1 species
CCUUUUCUCGGCCUUCACUGGUCGGUUGGGGGGAUCAUGUACUUUCUUUAGAAAAAAUCAGAGUGUUUCAGGCAGGCGUUUGCAUGAAUACACAAGCAUGGAAUAAUAGGAAUAGGACUAGGGUCCAUUUUAUUGGUUAUUUGGACCCAUAGUAAUGAUUAAUAGGGACAGUUGGGGGCAUUAGUAUUUAAUUGUCAGAGGUGAAAUUCUUGGAUUUAUUAAAGACUAACUUAUGCGAAAGCAUUUGCCAAGGAUGUUUUCAUUAAUCAAGAACGAAAGUUAGGGGAUCAAAGACGAUCAGAUACCGUCCUAGUCUUAACUAUAAACUAUACCGACUAGGGAUUGGUUGGGUCAUUAGAGCCCAAUCAGCACCUUAUGAGAAAUCAAAGUCUUUGGGUUCUGGGGGGAG